rnacentral:rRNA from 1 species
UACGGGGGGGGCAAGCGUUGUUCGGAAUUACUGGGCGUAAAGGGCUCGUAGGUGGCCAACUAAGUCAGACGUGAAAUCCCUCGGCUUAACCGGGGAACUGCGUCUGAUACUGGAUGGCUUGAGUUCGGGAGAGGGAUGCGGAAUUCCAGGUGUAGCGGUGAAAUGCGUAGAUAUCGGGAAGAACACCCGUGGCGAAGGCGGUUCUCUGGGACGGUACUGACGCUGAGACGCGAAAGCGUGGGGAGCGAACAGG